rnacentral:rRNA from 1 species
CAGUCGCCGCGGUAACACGAAGGGUGCAAGCGUUAAUCGGAAUUACUGGGCGUAAAGCGUGCGCAGGCGGUUAUAUAAGACAGAUGUGAAAUCCCCGGGCUCAACCUGGGAACUGCAUUUGUGACUGUAUAGCUAGAGUACGGCAGAGGGGGAUGGAAUUCCGCGUGUAGCAGUGAAAUGCGUAGAUAUGCGGAGGAACACCGAUGGCGAAGGCAAUCCCCUGGGCCUGUACUGACGCUCAUGCACGAAAGCGUGGGGAGCAAACAGGAUUAGAUACCCCCGUAGUCCCUGUCUCUUAUAC